UGGCGUCUUCGGCGUCCGCUUUGUAAUCUCAAGAAGUGUUUUCCGCUUCGGACCAUGCCUAAGUCCCUUGGAAAAGGGCAUCAUAGAGGGUGAUAAUCCCGUACAUGGCAUGGAGCGCCCGAAGCUUUGUGAUACGCUUUCUAAGAGUCGAGUUGUUUGGGAAUGCAGCUCAAAAUGGGUGGUAAAUGCCAUCUAAGGCUAAAUAUUGGGGAGAGACCGAUAGCGAACAAGUACAGUGAUGGAAAGAUGAAAAGAACUUUGAAAAGAGAGUUAAACAGUACGUGAAAUUGCCAAAAGGGAAGGGUAGGAGGUCAGAGAUGCGGCCUGGGAUUCAGCCUUGCUUUUGCUUGGUGUUUUUCCCAGAUUGCAGGCCAACGUCGGUUUUGGGCACUGGAGAAGGGUAGGAGGAACGUGGCACCUCUCGGGGUGUGUUAUAGCCUCCUACUGGAUACAGCGACCGAGACCGAGGACAGCAGCGUACUCGCAAGAGCGGGCCUUCGGGCACCUUUACGCUUAGGGCGUUGGCAUAAUGGCCCUCUACCACC
rnacentral:rRNA from 1 species